rnacentral:rRNA from 1 species
UACAGAGGAGCCAAGCGUUGUCCGGAUUGACUGGGCGUAAAGCGCACGCAGGCGGUUGCGCGCGUGGGGUGUGAAAUCUGGCCGCUUAACGGCCAGGCGCCAUCCCAUACGGCGCGACUGGAGUGAUGCAGAGGUCGAUGGAAUUGCCGGUGUAGUGGUGAAAUGCGUAGAGAUCGGCAGGAACACCCAGGGGGAAACCAGUCGACUGGGCAUCUACUGACGCUGAGGUGCGAGAGCGUGGGGAGCAAACCGG